CGCCAGACCCUACGGGAGGCAGCAGUGGGGAAUAUUGGGCAAUGGGCGCAAGCCUGACCCAGCAACGCCGCGUGAAGGAAGAAGGCUUUCGGGUUGUAAACUUCUUUUGACAGGGAAGAGCAGAAGACGGUACCUGUCGAAUAAGCCACGGCUAACUACGUGCCAGCAGCCGCGGUAAUACGUAGGUGGCAAGCGUUGUCCGGAUUUACUGGGCGUAAAGCGCUCGUAGGCGGUAUGUCAAGUCAAGGGUGAAAUCCCCGCGCUCAACGUGGGAACUGCCUUUGAAACUGGCAAACUGGAGUGUGUGAGAGGAUAGUGGAAUUCCAGGUGUAGGAGUGAAAUCCGUAGAUAUCUGGAGGAACAUCAGUGGCGAAGGCGACUAUCUGGCACAUAACUGACGCUGAGGAGCGAAAGCGUGGGUAGCAAACAGGAUUAGAUACCCUCGUACC
rnacentral:rRNA from 1 species